CAGUACAUAAUGGGAUCUAAAUGAAUUUAGAUAGGGAAGUAAUCCUAACCUAUAUUCGAAGUAUGGAAUCGUUGCUAUUCCUAAAAAAACUAUUUGAACAGGUUAAUUUAAUUUCAAUAUUAAUAAUAUUUGCAUUGUUUUUGUUGGAGUAUAGAACGUUGAUUUCGAACAACGAGUGAUUUAAGAAUACGAAUCGAGCGAUUACGAAAGAGUUAUUCGCAUAGGCUUUAAGUAUGCAUGCUGUGUGCACGCACGUGGUUCUCCAGGAUACCGGUCCGAGAGUCGUGAACUGUUAUGCGGCCCGCAAUCAACAUUAACACGCUCCCCAUUACGUAGGAUGAUAUUUAUCCGAGGCAAGACACUCGGUGUCGAACAAUGACUGCAGCUAGCCAUUUAACAUUAUAACGAAAAUGAAUCACGGUUAAUUUUUUAUUAUCAAAGUGAUAAAACAUUAGAAAUUAAACCAUGUUUUCUUUUUUUAGCAUCUAAAUGCAUGAAAGACACAUAACUAUCAAAAUGAAGAGGAAUAAAUGAAAUUUUUCAUUUUCUGGAGAGUAAUUUAUGGACUUUACUGAGUUAAGCAAAACAAGAAUUCUUGUUAAAUAGUGUAAAAUCUGUUGCAUCGUUUCUAGAUUUUUGGACUUCACUGACAAUAGCAAGUAAAGUAGGAAAUAAAAAAAGUAAUAUAUCAAAAGCUGUUUUAGUAAUUCUGGAUUUUUGUAUACUAAUAUACCACAUUAAGUAAAAAAUAAAAGAAGUAGUGUACCAAAAAUCUGUCAGCAGUUCUACUUUUGAAAUUAAAUUACAGAUUCCACUGAGCAUACCAUGCUAAAUAAAGAGUAAAAUAGAAAAGAAAAUAAUGUAUCUAAAUUUGUUCCAGCACUUUUAGACUUAUGGAAACUAAUCUACAGACUCCACUGAGGAUACCAAAUUGAAUACAAAGUAUGAAAGAGCAAAUAGUAUAUCAAAAGCUGUUACAGUAAGGUAUCAUGACGUGAAAGCACUUUGGGCUAGGAAAUAAAUUGAAAAGCUUGAUUAAAAGCUUCUAUAACGAAGGUGUAGCCUAGGCUCAGGUUAGGAAGAGCGAUUUCCAUAGCUUUUGCAACGGAUCAACAAUAUACAUAUCUCAGUCGCCCGGUGGCGAGCUGGUUGCCAGGCAGCGAGUUUCGUCCAGGUAAACCGCUCCUCUCGUUUCCUCUUUCACCCGCUUGUGCCUCGUUCCCGAUACAAACGCCAUAUUACCAGUCUAUCGACGUUUGAUAUCGGUCGACCGGGCUCAGCGGUGCGCAAACUCCCUUGAUACGGGACAAAACAAGUUUCAGAUACAGAAAUUCUGGUAGAAGAAUAUCCAGGUGUUGCUCAUUUCAUCAAAAACUUGUUCUUUUAUAUGUAUUACAUAACCUAUUUUGGGGAAUUGCACUUUAGAAUGAAUAAAUUUAUGAUAAUUUGGAGAAAUAUCUUUUCAAGGAUUUCGUUAAAGACUAUUAUCAGCUAUAAAAGAUAUAUUAUAUAACUGAAAUUAUUAUCUUUUUGGUAACAAGGAAGAUAGUUAUAUAGUAUAGCAAACAUCUAUAUAGCAUAGAACUGGAAAAAGAAUUCUAUGGCAAAUAGUCCACAUUACAGAGAAAAAUAUUGCUAUAUAUGUGAGGCAUAAAACUUCUUCAAAUUCUUUUCAAUUUCUACUCUUUUCUCCAGAAAAGAUUUCAAGGUCACAGCUGAGCUAGCUUUUCAUAUAGUACACAUAAAUCUUUCAAUAAUAUUUAUGGUCUGUGUAGCGUAAUCUGGUUGUUAUCUAAUAAUUCAGUGCAAAAAUUUCAUUUUCAAAUUUCUUCUUUUUUUUUAGAAACGGAGAAGGGAAAAGCAUUUACUGUUGCGUAAACCAGUCGAAUCUUCUGACGUGUACAUUAAAUAACUGUUAUGAAACAUCGCACUAUGGACAAAGAACAUUUCUUCCUAGUAGAUUACUUGCGCGAGUUUUUAUGGAUCAAAUGCAAAGAUUGAGUAUUCAGUGCAUUACGAAUUUUUUGCACUAGGCCCUGCCUUCCAAAUACAAAUCUAAUGGUCUAAUAUCUAAUGAUUAGUUAUAAAAUAUACCAUCUUUAUUUUGAGUAAAAACCUGAGACACCCCAUAUAUGGGAAAUAUAUUGCUGCAGUUGUGUUCAGUGAAUUCUGUUACAAAAUAAGCGUUGAUUCCGGUUCGAUCGCUGUUACAAGAUUAAUAAGCACGCUCGUAAAUUAUCGUCGGGCACGAUACAAGUUGCGCACCACUGAUUUAAUGGAUGACUCUACCGGCCUGGUGUGGUAAUCACAGUAAAAAAUCUUUCGUUCGAACGAGCUUUGGAUCCUUGGUAAUUUUGUCGUCAACAACACUCCGUGCUCUUCUGCCCUUUAAUUAUGUAUUACCAAGAGAUCUCGAAAAAUCCAUGCGAAAAACGUGGCUGUCGUGAAAAACUAUGGCGCUGCUUGGUUCAACGACAUUGUAGCUGAAUACGAUGGUUGAAUAGCGUGGAAUAAUUGGGCGAGAUUCAUUAUUUGUAUGGAAAUGGUACAGUUAGAUAAUAGACGGAUGUUUAUGCAAAUUUGUGUUAUUAUGAAUAUGAUUCAAAAAAUAGAAUCCACAGAGCAAUUAUUUAUUCACUAAAUAUUAUUGCAAGUGCUAUGAAAACUGCAGAAGAUAAACCUAUUUUUUUAAGUCUUCAACAUGCUAUGUACCAAUUUAAUCUUUGUACGAUUGCAAUGGAGUACUUUGACACUAAAAAUCUCCAUAAGGAAUUGUUUGUAGCGAGAAUUGUUUUCCAAAUUUUUGGAAAUUUUUUUAGGGGAGAAGAACAUGAUAAAACACAUUUUGAUUCCUUUUUACAGGCAAGCUCUGUUGCAAUUCGUUUUAUAUGUCGAGCAUUGGAUUUUUCAAAUUUAAUACGUCAUUAAUUAAUGCUAUCAAAAUAAUGCAAACUUUGAAAUUAACCUAAGCUCUUGAUCAUCUAUGAACUAUGGAUAUAACACGUAAACAUCCAUAGUAUAAUAAUAAAAAAUAGUAAAAAAAAUUCAAUUAAAUGGUUAUGCAAUAGUUGCGGAAUAAUUAUGAUAACAAUCAGACAUGAUCUGAUAAUCAUAAUUUGCAAUUUUCAUUAAAAUUCGGAGUGAGCUAUGGAACGGUAUCAAGGGAAGAAAACUCGUAAAACUUGUUAACGGCGAUAAUUAAAGUGGUUGGUAAAGAAGUCUGACACUAUUACAUGAACGGGAUAAUAAUUGCAUCGUAAUGAUAUUUCUGAUGAAGAUAAUGUUUCACGGAUAGUUGUUGCCACCUGUACUUUUGGAAUUUUUUUCCUUCUUUUCCAUAUUUUUGCCUAACUAAUGAUUACAUUAAAGACUUUUACACACUCAUAUGACAUUUAAAAGUGUAAAAGCGCAAAGGAUACAAAUAAUGUGCAAAAUUGGUGUAGAAAAGGUGAAACAAUUCUCUGUCUAAGUUUUACUCUUUUUAGUUGUCUUGCAGUUUAUUGAUGAUGAUCGAAAGUAACUUGGAUCUAUUUUCAGGGAACCGAUGGAAGUUCUUUAUUCUGAAGUAAGAGGACCAAGUGGAAAGGCAGAGACUGGCUAUUAGCGUACGAAAUAACGCCACAAUGUACCGUAAGCCUUGGUUGAGCCUUCACGCAUGGUGGAUCGAAACGGACAGGACAGGAGGAACAGGCAAUAGCACACGAUCGAUUCGUGGCUCGUUACAGAGAGCCUGGUCGAAAGUUCGAACAAGGCCCGUACAUUAAUAUUUCCGUUAUUGCGCGCACGAGCACCGAGGUUAUGCCUUUCACACAGCCAAGUAAUAAUACGGAAAGUGAUCGUUCCUCUCCCAGUCGGCUGAUCGAUCACGAUACGGAUUUUAACGAGCCUUCAUCCGAUUAACGCCCCACUGAUCACGCAAACCUGACUUCAGCCUACUUUAUUAAUUUUUUUAUGAUGUUACAUUAAGUAGAAGAUCGCACUUAGUGUUAAUAGAAAUUUAAUGGAUUAUAGAAGGACACACAUGUAAUUUUAAUUGCUAAAUGGAAUAUGUUUUUAACGUAUAAGAUGAGAAUAAUUAAGGAAAAAACAAGCAUAAGCAGUUUGAAACAGGUUAGAAGAUUAGUAAAGUGGAAUUAUGGAUGCUGAACAGAUAGCGUAUGUUGGAAAAACCCAAGUGAUUAAUUAAUGAUUGGUUUAAAUGGUACUUGUCUCGGGAUAGUAAUAGAGCAAUUAGUAGUAGAAUAAUUAUCAUUCGAACAUGGGAUUCUGAGGUCUCUGUGGUUUCAUAACACUGCUAGAUCCAUUCAAUCUUGGACUUCCUUUCGAAGAAGUUGUUGAUCGACUCUUAAUACGGCACAGAUAACUACUGCACUCUGUUCAUAGAAUUCUUGCACUGAGACGUCUUCGACUUGUCAAUGUUGUAAACACAGACUCACAAGAAGAGACAUCUUUUCAAUUAUUUGACCUAUUGCAAUUCAAGCUUUAAAAUGAGAUAGCUAAAUGUACUAAAUUCUGAUCAGCUUGAACAACGAAACUCUAAAUUAGUUAAAUUAAUUGUCAAGAUAUUUUAAAGAAUCAAAACAAGCCACAAAUCUCAACUCGGAAUAGCAUUCAGCUUCCAACCUUACAAUCAAACCAUAACAAUAACAGCAAUAAUU